rnacentral:rRNA from 1 species
UGGGGAAUUUGGACAAUGGGCGAAAGCCUGACCCAGCAAUGCCGCGUGUGUGAAGAAGGCCUUCGGGUUGUAAAGCACUUUUGUCCGGAAAGAAAUCCUUGGCUCUAAUACAGUCGGGGGAUGACGGUACCGGAAGAAUAAGCACCGGCUAACUACGUGCCAGCAGCCGCGGUAAUACGUAGGGUGCAAGCGUUAAUCGGAAUUACUGGGCGUAAAGCGUGCGCAGGCGGUUUGCUAAGACCGAUGUGAAAUCCCCGGGCUCAACCUGGGAACUGCAUUGGUGACUGGCAGGCUAGAGUAUGGCAGAGGGGGGUAGAAUUCCACGUGUAGCAGUGAAAUGCGUAGAGAUGUGGAGGAAUACCGAUGGCGAAGGCAGCCCCCUGGGCCAAUACUGACGCUCAUGCACGAAAGCGUGGGGAGCAAACAGGAUUAGAUACCCCUGGUAGUCCACGCCCUAAACGAUGUCAACUAGUUGUUGGGGACUUCAUUUCCUUAGUAACGUAGCUAACGCGUGAAGUUGACCGCCUGGGGAGUACGGUCGCAAGAUUAAAACUUAAA